CAGUCGCCGCGGGAACACGGAGGGCGCGAGCGUUACCCGGAUUUACUGGGCGUAAAGGGCGUGUAGGCGGCCUGGGGCGUCCCAUGUGAAAGGCCACGGCUCAACCGUGGAGGAGCGUGGGAUACGCUCAGGCUAGAGGGUGGGAGAGGGUGGUGGAAUUCCCGGAGUAGCGGUGAAAUGCGCAGAUACCGGGAGGAACGCCGAUGGCGAAGGCAGCCACCUGGUCCACUUCUGACGCUGAGGCGCGAAAGCGUGGGGAGCAAACCGGAUUAGAUACCCCCGUAGUCCCUGUCUCUUAUAC
rnacentral:rRNA from 1 species